rnacentral:lncRNA from 1 species
GACUCAGCCCACCUGCACCCAGGUGAAAUAAACAGCUUUACUGCUCUCACACAAAGCCUGUUUGGUGGUCUCUUCACACGGACGCGCAUGAAAUUUGGUGCCAUGACUCGGAUCGGGGGACCUCCCUUGGGAGAUCAAUCCCCUGUCUUCCUGUUCUUUGCUCCGUGAGAAAGAUCCACCUACAACCUCAGGUCCUCAGACCGACCAGCCCAAGGAACAUCUCACCAAUUUUAAAUCAGAGUCUUGCUCUGUUGCCAGAUUGGAGUGAAGUGGCGCGAUCUCAGCUCACUGCACCCUCUGACUCCCUGAUUCAAGUGAUGCUCCUGCCUCAGACUCCCAAGUAUUUCCUAUAUCUUCCUGUCUUUUCCAUGGCCAAAAAUGAUCAAGUAAAGAACAUUAAAGAAGAAAUAAAUUACUACAUAUUAAAAAAUACAUACUGUAAGAUGUUCUUUGUACAAAAAUGUGACAACUUCAAUAAGAGUAACUUGGACAACCUGAGGCAUUAAUUGAGGAUCAAUAUGAUGACUUUACAUUGAGAAUCACAUAUACCCUCUGAAUAAAUUUAAAAAAUGAAAUUUUUUAAUUUUCAUUAAAAAUUAAAUUUUUUUGAGUGAUGAAAAUACUCAAUCACAUUAUUUUCAAAUUGUUGAUAAGCAUGGAAAUUAUCAGAGAACCAGAAUAUUCAAGGUUUAUCUUUCCUGUUUUUGUCUUAAAUCACAACUAUGUGUUAAAUAAUUUGUAUGACCUAUUUCAGUGGCAGUAGGUUAAAUAAAAUUCUGUUUGUA